AAUUAAACUGGAGCUGGGUCGGUGCUGAAUAGCUCAACUGAUUGAAUAGGUGCCCCCUGCAGAGGCUGAAGGUCUUCCAGCUGUUCCAGGCUUAAGACCCAGGCAAGCAGAAGUUGUUGACAUCCGUGCUUGAAGGGUAAACAGCUAAAGGAGAAUGGUGAUCAGCUGUCGGGGUGUGUGGGAGCCUGGUGGGAAAGACCAGAGGCCACAGCUACCUUUCACCACCACCCUGUCUACAGCAGUGAGAGCGCCAGAAGUACAAACAAGGACACAUCAUCAGCUUGGUGAUAAAGCCCAGCAGCCUGCCAAGGCAGAGGACUUCAAGCUAUACUUGCAAACAAAGCCUCAGUAUCAUUCAGUAGAAAAAACAAGAAUAAGUCAAGAUGAUAGGCAGUGCAAAGUGGUGAGCAUGGGGUAAGUUUGGGCAGUAGUGGCCACACUGACAGGCUGCAUCAGCCUGCUGUUCAUUUGUCACUUCUAAUACUUCUUUAUCUCAAUCUGCUCUGAAAAUACCAACUUUUCCAUUCUACCAGGAGGCUGUUUUGUAUCCACUAAAGGAUCCUAAGGCUGAAAUAUAAUCUUGACUAUUGUCACAUUUUUUUCAAGCAGUUGGCAAGGGUGAAAGGAAACCGGGUCUCAAAUAGCAUCAUAGUUUAGGAUUAUAGUGUGAUGCUGCAAGAAUGAUGCAGGGAACAGUGCUGUCUUUAUUAACUCAAGCAGGUUGUCAUGCUCUUUUACUUAACCAUGUUAGUAGCUAAUUAAAUUGGCUCCCAGUUGAGUUAGCUGUCAAUGAAAGUGUCAGUGUACUUGAAUAUUUAGUACAGCUGCAUGUAUACGUCAGAUAUUUCAGUCAAAGGAUCAUUAAUUGAUAUUAUCAGAAGAGGCAUUAGAGAUUUUUUUACUUGAAUCUUUCAUUUUAUGCGCUAUGAAUACAGAACAGUAGACUCAAGGGCUCUCUUUGUUGUUAAAUGCUAGUAUCCACAAAUCCAAAAGCAGUGCCUGAUAUACCUGUAAUUACAUCUGAUCUGCAUGAUGUCUAAGCAUUGGGAGUUAUUGUUAUGCCAACAGAAAAAUGUAAAAAUUGGGU